rnacentral:tRNA from 1 species
GGGGCUUUGGCUCAGUCAGAGAGCCCCUGCGUUGCAUGGAGAAGGUCCCAGGUUCAAGCCCUGGCAGCUCCA